rnacentral:rRNA from 1 species
GACGGAAGGUGCAAGCGUUGCUCGGAAUCACUGGGCGUAAAGGGUGCGUAGGCGGCUUGGUGGGUCUGGUGUGAAAGCCCCGGGCUCAGCCCGGGAAGGGCACUAGAAACUGCCGAGCUGGAGUGCCGGAGGGGAGAGUGGAAUUCCUGGUGUAGCGGUGAAAUGCGCAGAUAUCAGGAGGAACACCGGUGGCGAAGGCGGGUCUCUGGGCCGAUACUGA